CAGGAUAUAGCUAAGAUAGUAAAGCACCUCCCUUACACCGAGGAGUCAUCCGUGCAAAGCGGAUUAUCCUGA
ensembl:Mt_tRNA